GUAAAAGUUCUCCAUGGCUGUUUCAGGAUCAACCUCUCAGGAACAGGAUUCAGGAUGACAGAUAGCACUAGGUGGAUUUCUGAAGGGAACAACGCCACAGCUGACAUACACAAGUCUCGGGGUGGCAGUAGAGUUUCUGGGAUCUG